rnacentral:lncRNA from 10 species
AACAACGUGUUACCAGAACAGCCCAGUGGAGGGAACGGUGUUAUGCUGAUGGAGGCAGUGGUUUGCAUAAGCUCCUUCCAGACGCCCUUCCCAGACUUGAAGUCAUUUAAUGUAGAUGCCAGCCCUGCGAGGUGGGACUGCCAUCAUGCCCGUUAUACAGACAAGGAAAGUGAGACCAGAGGGGAGACACGUGGAGCUGGCCCCCAAUCCCAGGACGAAGGACAUGAAGGGCUUGUUAUGUAGUGUGAACCCUGCCCUUUACUGUGCCUUCCUUGAACACCGGGGCAGCAGGGCACUCCCUGAGCAUAAAGCCAUCUACAGACCCCACAGGUCGACAUCAGCAGGGCCCUGAGGAGUGCAUACAUCUCUAAACUGUGAGCAAGAAACACCUGCCCUAAAGCCAUCUACAGAUCCCACAGGUCGACAUCAGCAGGGCUCUGAGAAGCACAUACAUCUCUAAACUGUGAGCAAGAAACACCUGCUCUCAGCAGCGCAGAACAUGAAGUGGACUUGGAUACGUCUCCGAGAGCCGGCUUCUUGUCCUCGCCAUAUCCAAGGCACCACACCAUUUGCCAUCAACCUCACCCCACUCUCCAGAGCCCUUGACCAUCUCUGCCCACAUUCUCCUACGCCCGACUUCCAGCCAAGUGUAAAUAGGAAUUCAAGGCCCCAAGAAUUUUGAUACUUUGGUAUUUGGGGGAGAAACAUGGGUUAUGGAGACAAAGAUGUAGGUUUACAUCCCAGCUCUGCCACUUCCAAGCACAGAGACCUUGGAAGGUUUUCUCGUCUGUAAAAGAGUAGGUUUAACCCCUACAAUUUAGGCUGCUAUGAGGCAGCCAGUGUUUGGCCCUGGCGAAUGUGAGCCAUGGCUGGCACUUCUGCGUGGCCAAGUGGGGGGCCGCAAUGCCCAGCCCGCUCUCUCCAGCUCUCCAGAGCAUCCCCAAAGGCAAACCUUAAUUUUCCUGUUCCCCAAAUCCCCCCUGGGUCUUUCCUUCCCAGCCCUCCCUCAGGCUCAGGGAUGUGUCUUUUCCUAUCUUCUCCUUCCACCAGCUCCUAAGCAUCUGGUCCCAUUCCCUCUGUAAACAUCCUCAGGGAAGGACGCUAGAGAAAUGUGUACAUGUGGGGAGAAUUCAGCCUGCGUUACCGCUUUCAGUGGCGUUGCACGUUUUAACAUUUUAAAUUCCUAAAAUAUUGACACCCAUACAGAAAAGUGCACAAAAGAUAAAUGUACACGUAAUGAAUUAUUAUCAACCAAAACCUGUGAAGACAUUUUCCAGAGCAGGAAAAGGACUCCCCAAGUCAGCCCCCUCUGCAAUCACAAAAUUGACCCCCCUGCUCUCCACCGCAUGCAAGCAACCGUGGCCCUGCGUGUGUGGCCAUCACUCCCUGCUGGUCUUCAUGGUUUGCCACCUCUGGAUGCAUCCCUCAGAGCUGGAGCUGAGUUUUCUGACUCUCAGCUGUGGGAGGAUUUGUGGUUGGGGUGCCUCCGUGUGGGGCUCCGUGGACUCAGGAGGACAUUAGCGCACGGCACCACUGAGGAAGGCACUGGACCUUUUCAUCAGUGCUCACUGCUCUGUAGGAUGAACCGAGCGAACCGCAGUGCUCACCCAGGCAGACGCCAAUGGACACAGAUCUGUUUCCAGGCUUUGGUUCUCAUGUGAACACUGCUGGGAACGCCCUCCCAGGUCUCCUCCCACACAGGUGAAUGCAUUUCUCCUGGGUUUCCUCCCGGAAUGGAAGAGCUGGGAUCUUAAUCACCCACAUGCAAAGGGGCAAACUGAUGUUGCACGGUGACUUUAAUUGUGACUUUAAUUUGCAGUUCCCUGGGACUGAAGAUCCUAGGCACCUUUUCCUGCCUUUACUGGUCAUCAGGAUUUUUUCCUUUAUAAAUAAAAUGCUGCCUGCUCGAG